GGACCUAGGGCUGAGGGUUACAUAAAAGCCCAGCGAAGCUCUGGGCCCAGCACCCCUAAGACCUGCCACCUGCCUCCACACCUUCGAGAGCCUCCUGCACUCCCCACUGGCACCAUGCUCAGGACGGCCCUGGUCCUCUCUGCUUGGUUCGGUCUGGCUGUGACUUACCCCAUCGCAUUCCAGGAAUUCAUACACAUUAUCAAUGACCCGGUGCUAUCUGCCGACCCAGAGCCAGUGGUUGUCCUGGAGCCUGAAGAGCCGGCUGUUGUCAUAGAGCCGCUCACUGGUGGAGAGCUGGUCAUUAACCUAGAGCCAAGUGAGGAACUAGAUUUAACCGCUGACCUAGAGUCCACCACAGACCUGGAGUCGACCACAGACCUAGAGUCGGCCACUGACCUAGAGUUGACCACAGACCUAGAGUCGGCCACUGACGUAGAGUUCUUUCGUGGUGGAGAAUUGACUACUGAAGCGUAUUUGAAGAACACACAGGCUUUUGAAUUGUCUACUGCUGUGGAAUCAAGCACCCUCAGCUUUGAGAAAGAAGCCACUGAGGCCACAGUUGACUACAAUUCAGUUCAGCCAGAGAGCUUUGCCAACAAAGAUUAUGAAGUUGUCACUGCUGCUUAUUUCGAUGAGCCCAUCCUUGUAGCAUCAGAUGAGCCCAUCACCUCAUUUGGAAACGACGAGUCCGUCUCAGUGCUUUUUUCAUUUAGAGAAUCAGCUCCAUUGAUGAACUGGGUCUAG
rnacentral:lncRNA from 1 species